rnacentral:rRNA from 1 species
GCAAUGCCGCGUGAGUGAAGAAGGCCUUCGGGUUGUAAAGCUCUUUUGUCAGGGAAGAAACGGCCUGUUCUAAUACAGUGGGCUAAUGACGGUACCUGAAGAAUAAGCACCGGCUAACUACGUGCCAGCAGCCGCGGUAAUACGUAGGGUGCAAGCGUUAAUCGGAAUUACUGGGCGUAAAGCGUGCGCAGGCGGUUUUGUAAGUUUGUCGUGAAAUCCCCGGGCUCAACCUGGGAAUGGCGAUGAAGACUGCAAGGCUAGAGUUUGGCAGAGGGGGGUAGAAUUCCACGUGUAGCAGUGAAAUGCGUAGAUAUGUGGAGGAACACCGAUGGCGAAGGCAGCCCCCUGGGUCAAAACUGACGCUCAUGCACGAAAGCGUGGGGAGCAAACAGGAUUAGAUACCCUGGUAGUCCACGCCCUAAACGAUGUCUACUAGUUGUCGGGUCUUAAUUGACUUGGUAACGCAGCUAA